GGGUGUGGGGGAGGUCCAUUUUACCUGAAAUAGUGCCACAUCCAGAGAAUAAAACUAGGACUUUUCAGAGAUCAGCAUGGCAUGUGUGCAAGGAUAAUAUGCAGACUCAUGAGGACUUCCAUAUUUUU
rnacentral:snRNA from 14 species